rnacentral:lncRNA from 1 species
UGGUCUAGAGACAAAGAAAACUGUUCCAGAGAACAACCAGUUUGGCGGUAAAGACCCGAAUCAUGCAAUCUGCCUCUAUCAGCUGCCCAGGAGCUCUCGCUCCUAUGUGACUCAAAUUGUUCCUGAGCAGAAGGGCUAUGCUUCCAAAGCAUGCUUCCUUCUUACGACUGUCUGCUUUUAUUUAGCAGAUGACCAAAGCUCCUGUAGGCAAUGUGUGGGUCAGCCAUACUUCACAUUAAUAAAAAGCAAGUCCAGCCAAAA